rnacentral:rRNA from 1 species
GUAGGUGGCAAGCGUUGUCCGGGAAUUAUUGGGGCGUAAAGCGCGCGCAGGCGGUUCUUUAAGUCUGAUGUGAAAGCCCACGGGCUCAACCGUGGAGGGUCAUUGGAAACUGGAGAACUUGAGUACAGAAGAGGAAAGCGGAAUUCCACGUGUAGCGGUGACAUGCGUAGAGAUGUGGAGGAACACCAGUGGCGAAGGCGGCUUUCUGGUCUGUAACUGACGCUGAGGCGCGAAAGCGUGGGGAGCAAACAGGAUUAGAUACCCUGGUAGUCCACGCCGUAAACGAUGAGUGCUAAGUGUUAGGGGGUUUCCGCCCCUUAGUGCUGCAGCUAACGCAUUAAGCACUCCGCCUGGGGAGUACGGCCGCAAAGGCUG